AUUGAACGCUGGCGGCAGGCCUAACACAUGCAAGUCGAACGGUAACAGGAAGAUGCUUGCUUCUUUGCUGACGAGAGGCGGACGGGUGAGUAAUGUCUGGGAAACUGCCUGAUGGAGGGGGAUAACUACUGGAAACGGUAGCUAAUACCGCAUAACGUCGCAAGACCAAAGAGGGGGACCUUCGGGCCUCUUGCCAUCGGCUUGGCCCAGAUGGGUUUAGCUAGUAGGUGGGGUAACGGCUCACCUAGGCGACGAUCCCUAGCUGGUCCGAGAGGAUGACCAGCCACACUGGAACUGAGACACGGUCCAGACUCCUACGGGAGGCAGCAGUGGGGAAUAUUGCACAAUGGGCGCAAGCCUGAUGCAGCCAUGCCGCGUGUAUGAAGAAGGCCUUCGGGUUGUAAAGUACUUUCAGCGGGGAGGAAGGGAGUAAAGUUAAUACCUUUGCUCAUUGACGUUACCCGCAGAAGAAGCACCGGCUAACUCCGUG
rnacentral:rRNA from 1 species